UGUGUGUGUGUGUGUAUGUUCUUGCCUGCCUGUGUGUGCGCAUGUGCAUGAAUGCCCGUGUACGUGUGUGUGUUCACCCAGGGUUAAGCCUGAUCCAAGAGCCACCAGAGCCCCACACUAAUGAAUGAUAAUGGAUUAGAAGUAGAAAGGGAAGGGAAGGUGGGUUGCCAGGUUGAGAGGCGAAGGGCUUUAGACAAACGGCCACUUGAGAGAGGCUACAGUUCAGAGCCAUCACAGAUACACAGAUACAGGCUGUGGGUUAGCUAAAGCUGGACCCUAUUCCCUACAUAGUGCACUACUUUUGGUCAAAAGGGAAUGCCAUUUGGGGCACAUGCAUUAUCUCUGGCGUAAUGAUAAACACAGGAAGUGUUGGGGACCUGGGAGUCCUGGGCUGGGAUAAUAAAAGGCCAUUGUAUCACAGGGAGUUGAUCACAGACAGCUACUGUAGCAGCCAGCAUGGAGUGGACUGACUGACUCCUGGGGAUUGGUGCUGGAAAAACUAAGCCCAAAUUCUUAAUUUUAAAGGAGGACUGGAAGACUUUGAACUGCUUUUGAAAUGGAUAACAGUUUAAGAAUCCUCAAGUCUAAGAAAUGCAUUCAAAGUCCAGUCCAGUGCCUUCGGCAUUAAAACAACAGGACGGGCUAAUGUGGAAAUCAAGGUCACACCUCUCUGCAGCGUCAUCUUUUCGCGUCUCAGCCCACUGUCCAGUCCUGGCCCAUGGGAAUACUCUCUCACAGCAAUCAGUCACUGGUGUGGACCGACGGACCAUGGACCACAGGUCUGCUCUAGUGCCCUCACCUGGCACCAUCCAGCCAUUGCACCUGCUCAUCAUUCUAACCUGAAACCCAGCAGGACAGAGAACAGAAAAUCAUUAACAAUUAACAAGGUUGAUGGAAGAAGUUUGGUUCGAACAUUAGAGUAAUGGAGGAGGUUCCACACUUUUAUUUUCAUUGGAAAGCUGUGUUUCAGUUCUUCGUCAUCUGCCUGGCAAAAAUAUUAGUACAUUUACUUUCUAUUCUCUGUAAAUUGUCUGCAUCUAGCUAUCUAUUGAUUUGAUAGGAAAACCCUUGGCUUACCUCUUGUCACGCCCUGGCCUUAGUAUUUUCUUUAUUAUUUUGGUCAGGCCAGGGUGUGACAUGGGUGAUUUAUGUGUCUUGUCUUGUCUAGGGGUUUAUUAGAUUUAUGGGGUUGUGUUUGGUAGAGUUGUCUAGGAAAGUCUAUGGUUGCCUAGAGUGGUUCUCAAUCAGAGGCAGGUGUUUAUCGUUGUCUCUGAUUGGGAACCAUAUUUAGGCAGCCAUAUUCUCUGGGUAUUUUGUGGGUGAUUGUUUCCUGUCUUUGUUACACAAGAUAGGGCUGUUUCGGUUUUUCACGUUUUGUAAAUUGUUUGUAUUUUCCAUCUUUCAUUAAAGAUGUAUAAAGAUAACCAUGCUGCAUUUUGGUCCUCCUCUCUUUCACCAGAAGAAAACCGUAACACCUCUCUACCCUGAGACUAGUUUUUUUUGCCUUUAGGUUUUGUAACACCUCAGCUUCCUCGCAUUUACAGCUAAGAAACCACAGAAAAUGGUUCCUUUAGCAGGAUA